AGUGAACGCUGGCGGUAGGCCUAACACAUGCAAGUCGAACGGCAGCACAGUAAGAGCUUGCUCUUACGGGUGGCGAGUGGCGGACGGGUGAGGAAUACAUCGGAAUCUACUUUUUCGUGGGGGAUACCGUAGGGAAACUUACGCUAAUACCUCAUACGACUUACGGGUGAAAGCAGGGGAUCUUCGGACCUUGCGCGAUUGAAUGAGCCGAUGUCGGAUUAGCUAGUUGGCGGGGUAAAGGCCCACCAAGGCGACGAUCCGUAGCUGGUCUGAGAGGAUGAUAAGCCACACUGGAGCGUGGACACGGUCCAGGCUCCUACGGGAGGCAGCAGUGGGGAAUAUUGGACAAUGGGCGCAAGCCUGAUCCAGCCAUACCGCGUGGGUGAAGAAGGCCUUCGGGUUGUAAAGCCCUUUUGUUGGGAAAGAAAAGCAGCAGGUUAAGACCCCGCUGUUCUGACGGUACCCAAAGAAUAAGCACCGGCUAACUUCGUG
rnacentral:rRNA from 1 species